rnacentral:lncRNA from 1 species
ACAAGAUCCAAAUCAAUGUCCUUCCGGGAGAAUUUCUUAAAAUCUUGUUUUCUCUCGUUGUCUUCGGAAGAAGCCCGACAUUUCUUAUAGGAAAUGGAACUCUUCAUAAGUCUGGCCAUGGAGGCAUGGUAUCCGUAACAUCCCCCAAAGGAGCUAAAGAAGAAAUCCACAAUUUACCAUGAGCAUUUCUCGUCUGAAGAUUGCCAAGCGAUUCCUCCAGGACAUUCCUCAAGAUCAAUUUCUGUUCAUCCACCUUGUCCUGGGAGGGACAUCAAUGGGUUUCCAUGUCCUUUGGCUUCUGGUUGAGUUCACUCAGUGGAGAACCCUGGCAAGAGGCAGGAAAAGGGGAGGAAGGUGAAAACCAUCCAUUUCUUGGAGAAGUGCCACGGUGGGGUUGCAAGUCCCAGGAUCAAGUUUUCGAUGUGUCUCUUUUUCCCGUAAAGUGGCUGAAAUCUGAAGCUGAAUCUGCAAGUGUCAUGGAGUCAUUGAAUCUCACAGUCUCAACUGAUAAAAGUUAUUAAAGGUAAAAAUGGUGCUACCCUUGGAAAUCCAAGAGCAGCUUCAAGAGUCAACUAUACCAGCAAUCCCUAAAGCUGGAGAAUUUAUGCCCAUGGAAAAGUCUGUAGCGUUUUGCAAACUGUGAGGCUGAGGAAUAGACCUAGUUCCUGCAGCAGAUCAAAAUGAAAGAUGCAGAAAUGCAGCAACUAUUGCAGGGAUUCCGUGAGACCAAGGACCUGUCUCCAUAGCAGGGCUGAGGAGGAAGAGGAAGAGGAGGGGUUGGUCUUGCUGUCUCAAGAGUAGCAGAAGCAGAAGAAAAUCCAAGUUGGUCAAAGGAAGAGGAGGAUCAAUGGCCUUUUUUCCUCCCCCCAACCUUUUUUUUUUUUUUUUUUUUUAAACAAAGAAGCAAAGUGAGAACAUUAAGCCCGAAAGAGAACUGUGUUCAUUGCAGGACUUUUUGAGGUCUGGUUAAGCCAUUUAUAUAAAGAAAUUACACAGUUCCUCUUUGGUAACCUCAAUCCUGAAAGUUAGUGUGACAGGCCUACAGCUUUUUGUUCU